rnacentral:lncRNA from 1 species
GAUGAGUAUUUAAUUACUGUUAUGAUGAUGAUGAUAUAUAUUGAGCUCAAAUCCUGCACCAUGGUUUAGUGCUUAUAGUAUUCACCGCAUCGCACGCUCGCCUUGGAUCCAAGUAGAUGCUAGUCGUACAGUCCACGCGGAGUGGGUACGACAGACCAGUCGCGAGAGUGUUAGUGAGAUUCCGACUGGUGGGUGACCUUAGAUUAUGUGCACAGAUGAUUUAUGAGAAGCACUAGAGCGUAACUUGCGUGCAGAAGGCCGGACGGGUCACAGAGGUGACUCCGGUAGAGUGAUAAUGAUAGAUUUUGAGCUCUAGGUUCAACCGUACAGGGCUAUUAGAGGGCCUACGGUUGAUUACUUUCUUGCACCUGAUAUGAUUAUGUUGAUGCAUUCAUACCUUAUUACUGUUGAGAUGAUGUGGCAUGGCAUAAUUAAUAUGAGAAAUGUUGAGAUGAUGUGGCAUGGCAUAAUUGUUAUGAAAAUGUUGAGUUAACGACUUGAAGUCUUGAGAAUAUAUAUGUAUAUUUAUAUUUUACAUUUCUGGGAAAGUAUACAGGUUUUACGGAGAGGGGUUACAACGUUUUGAGAAAUGUUUGGAUUUGGAAAAAGAAUUGUUUUACUGACCCACUCAAUUUUGGUUUUGCGCCCCUCCAGGUUCAGGAAUCACAAAGGUGUGGUGACUACGAGGAAUUCGACGGUGUUCUGACAGAUUGGACAAAAUUAGGACUCACCUUCGGGUGUAUCAACUUAUAAAUUGUAUCUUAAAGCUUCCGUACUGUGCAAAUGGUUACGUCACUCUCACGUGACGGCCAGCAUGCCCUCCUUCGGGACGGGGUGUGUCAGUUGGUAUCAGAGCAUGGUUGCAAUCUUGGAUAUUUUGAGAAGUUCUAGUGAAUUCUGUCAGAACUACACCGCCUCGUAGCAAGCCACUUAGUUAGAGGAAUUUAGUUUCCCUAAUAUAGCGGUUUAGGGGAAACUAUUAUUAUGGUGAUUCAGUAUAUUAUCAAAAUGGACAUUUUAAGACGGGUUAUGAGUUGAAUUUGAAUCACCUUAUGAAAUGAUGAACCUGAGGGAGCGAAGUAACGGUUUAACCAUUUGGAAAAGAUGUUUCAGAUUAUGCAAGUCAAAGGAAAUUUCCUUCUGACAAGGGGUCGAGACGACUACCUGGUUUUGGUUAUGAAUUUGUAUCCUGGUGGAAACAGGAGUAUGAUUUGUUGUCACCGGAGGAACAGUCGAUUGAGAAUUGUUUAAGGACUUGUUUAAGGAAAAGUUUAUCCCUCCGGCAUUUAUCGAUGGUAGUAAACAAGAGUUUACAAAUAUGAGACAAGGAAGGUGAUGAUCGAGGGAUAUUAUAGAAAGUUUUCAGACUUGCCUCGUUUCAUCCAGAUAUUGUUGUUAAUUUGGUGGAGGUGUUAUGUUGUUUUAAGCUGGGUGGCAAAAGGGAAGUGGUAUUUUGGGUGACCACUAUCCAUUGUACUUCUUACCAGGAAUAUACGAGAUGCUGUUGAGUCUUGAGGACUUUGAGAACAUGAUCAACGAGAAUAAAGAAGAAUAAGAAAUGAAUGGGAAUUAAAAGAAGACGAUAAAGUUAAUGAUUCAUCUUAUCAAGGAUAUAGAAAGAUUCAGAGCUUCGAAAGAAGUGAAGCUAGAGUUAAUUCUUCCAGCUGAGGUUUUAAUGUAGCUGGUCAGAGUAAAAGUGAUGGAUAUACUGGUAAUCCCAGAUAUUUGAGACAAGGUGUCUCGAGUAAAGGAAAUGUACCUUGUGCAGCAGGUAAAAAAAAAAUUAACACUUUGGGAAGUGUGAAAUUAAUGAAUGUGUUUAUGUGAACAGAGGGGACACAAAAUUGUGAAUCGUCCCUAGAAUCAGUUGUACCCAACAGUUUUCUAUGACAUCGUAGUGUCGAUUCAGCAAGUUUAUGAACUUAGUAGUUUGGUCGGAUUGACCGUGGGUACAGAGAGAUUGAUGAGUUAUAUGUUCAGCCGUACAGACCACGAGAGGUGGAUUUGACUGACACAUGAGAAAUUGGUGAGUUAUAGGCUCGGCCGUACCGACCACGCGGAGUGGAUCUGGCCGACGCAUUAUUGAGAUAAUUGUUGAAUCAGCCGUACAAGUCAUUCUAGUUGACUCCGGCUGAUAUAUAUAUAUUUUAUUAUGAUUGAUAUUACCUUGAGAGUAGUAAAUAAAUGUAGUUGAGACGAGUGUAUGUAUUUUGCAUUGAGUGACAAAAUAGUAAUGUUAUAUCUUUGAGAGUGGUUGCCUACUUAUCGAGACAACGAUGAUUUAUCAGUAUUGCGGGCUGCAGACCGUAAUAUUAAUAACUCAUUCGUGGAUUCGUUAAGCAAGCAAACCGGUAGAUUAUUUUAUGUUAGUAUUGUACUUAUUUGGAAUGCUUAAUAAUAAUAGAAUAUAUAUUGUAUCAGUUAAUUCUGUUCCAUUAGAUUGGUUGGUUAUAAUUGUGACAAGACGAAAUGUUAUGGGAAACCAGUACUUUCCAUCGAUCUGGAUGAACAGAGAUUACUUUUGUAAGUAUGCAAAAUGGAUUGAGUCAGGCUGUUAUUUAUGCUGUGAGAGCAAAGAGAUUGUUUUCGAAAGGCUGUCAAAAAUACUUAGUUCAUGUGGUACUAAAGGAUGUUGCUCGGAGAAGUGUGAAAAAAAUGAAAAAGGGGUUAGACUUUUCUUGAUGUCUUCCCUGAAAGUAUACCUGGAUUGCCUUCAGGCAGAGAUAUGAGGUUCACUAUUGAUUUGUUGCCAGGUAUAAAUUUAUGUUAAAGAUUGGUUCAUGAUGAGUUAAGGGAAUUGGAAAUUCAGUUGAGAGAAUUGGUUGAUAAAAGUUUUAUUCAACCAGUACAACACUCUUGAGGAGCACCAGUUUGUUGGUGAGAAAGAAAUGGAUCUUGAGACUGUUCAUUGAUUAUAGACAAUGGAGUCGGGUAACGAUUGAGAACCGUUAUCCAUGGUGAUGUACUGAUGUUUAUUUAACCAGCUCAGAAGUAAUUGCGAAGAUUCAAAGAUUGAAUUGAGAUCUGGUUACUACCAAUUGAAUAUUAUAAGUGACGUUGAUCAUAAGAUGGUUUUCUGGACUUGUUAUAGUCUUUAUGAAGUUUGGUGAUGCUAUAUGGAUACUCAUGCUGUUUUAUGAAUUAUUGGAUGAAGUAUUCCAAUAAUGCCUUGAUAAAUAGAUAUCAUUUUUCAUUGACGAUAUUCUGGUAUACUCUAAGCCAGAGCAGAGCAGGUAAAUGUAAUAAGUCGAUGAAGCAAAGAUUGAGAGAACGGUGGUUGUAUGCUAAGUUUAGCAAAGGCUAAAGUUAAAUGAAUCAAGUGGCAUUCUGAGAUUGGUUAUAUCUGCUUAAGGUAUUCAAAUGAAUUCUUAAAAGGCAGCAGAAUUGAGAAAUUGGAACAACCACAAGCCAUAAUUGAGAUUCGGAAAUUCUUAACUUAUCAGGCUAUUUUGGAUGGUUGUGAAAGAAUUUUUAGUCAUUGUUUUGUCAUUGAUGAGACUGUUGAGAAAGGAGGUUAUGUAUGAGUGGGAAGGAAAUUGUGAGCAAAGGAUUCAACAACUGAAGUAUUUCCUCACUCAUGCACGUAUUUUAGUAAUCCCAGAGAAUAAUGGUAAUCAUAAAUUUUUAGUGAUGUUUCUUGAAUGGUAUUGGAUGCAUGUUGAUGCAAAUGUUAGGGUGAUUGCAUACGUUUCACGACAAAUGGAAUCUCAUGAGAUGAAUUACCCUACUGGUGAUUUGGAAGUCACGAUUACCAUCCUUGCUGUGAAGUUAUGGAGACAUUAUAUUUUAGUGAGAAUGCAAGAUUUUACAAAUCAAAAGAGUCUUCAAUAUCCAUUACUUGGAAGGAUUUUGAUAUGAGGCAGCGAAAGUGAAUUGUAUUGCUUAAUGAACAUGAUUGUACGAUCAGGGUGAUCGUAAAGUUUGUUCUAGCUCAAGCACUUGGCGAGAAGACUACAGUAAGAUUAAUGUCUGGCACGUUUGCCAAGAUUAUCUUCUUGUGGAUUGGAAACCAACUAAAGUAAAGUUAAGAAUGGAAGAUCGAGAAGAAGUUAUACUUGUUAAGUAACAAGUUAGUACAUUUACUCCAGUGUUGAGUAACAACCUUUCCCAGACAGUGCAACAUUACUAAUUUGUUUUAUGGAAAAGAGAAUUGGAUUACGGAACUGCUAAGUUUCUUAAGUAUGUUGGUUGUGCAGUUUCCGAACGAAGUAACGCCAUAAGGACCAUGAAAUGUGUCACGUGAGUCGGUUUUUGAUGACUUGUGAAUGGAAUGUUUCUGGGUAGAGAAAGAUUCGAUCAAGAAAGAGUUUUAGUAGACCCUGAGACUAUGGAUGAGUCUUCUCAAAGUAUUCAGGUGAUUAAGUUAACCUGAAGUAACCAGGAAUGGCAAAAGAGAUCAACAGAUGGAUAUGCCACUAAUCGAGUGUGUAAGGUAAAUGGUUUGAUAUUUUUGGAAAAUUCACCGCGAACAGAAAUGACGAGAAUUGGAAAAGAGACAAGAUAAGAUUUAGACACAUCAGACCAUUUUUUUUUUUUCACUAAAGGAAUCAAUAAAGUUGCAUACAAGUUUGUGAUGCCUUCAGAAUUGGCUAAGGCACAUAAUGUAUUUUGUGUUCGAUGCGUUGUCACUAAGUGGCAGAGUCGUUACAUGGGACUUUGGUGCAACUAUUGAGAAUUAAGCCGGAUCUGAUUGGUGAGGAACUAAUGUCGACUUUGGAUUGGAAAAAAGAAGGUCCUAAGAAUUAAGACAGAGUAAGUAGUAAAAGCUUUGUGAAGGAAAUCAUUCAGUAGAAAAUUACAUGGGAGACAGAAGAACGGAUGAGAGUUAUGUAUCCGAGACUAUUUUAUGAGUUUUGAUGUUCUGGUUGGUGAUUGGAAUUUCGGGGACGAAAUUCUAUAAGGAGGGGAGAUUGUCACAGCCCGUCCCGGAAUUAUUAAUUCCGAGGACGUGAGAUGACCCAAUGUGACCUUAAACGGGAUUAAGGUGUGUAAAUGUAUGACAUUGUUUUUACUUUAAGAUCCUAAACUAGGGUUAGAUUUAUAUUUGCAUGUGUUUAAUUUGUGCUUGGACUUAGGUAGGGCCUCCUACCCUGAAUUCCCUCCCUAAAACCCGUAACCUUUCUUCUCUCUUCUUCUUUCAUUUCAGACUCUCUCUCACUCUCUCUCUUACUCUCGAACUCACGGCAAACACCAAGAACAACCACAAUUCUACACGAACGUCCAAUCUAAGAUCACCAUCGUGAUCUUGAGAACUUCACGAGCACGGGGGUACAAGUUUCAGGUGAGUUCUAUUUCAAAAACCCUAGUUUCAAAUCACCCCCGUGGAUUUGCACUGUUCACAAACUUUAAGUUGGCCGUGUUUUAGGUUAAACAAAGCUCACAGUGAGCUUAAGGAGGUCACGAGGAGGCUCGGAGUGCCUCGUUUGAACAAAAUGGACGUCGGGAUCGUUGGGUUCGAGUUUGGCCGAAUUUGAGGAAUUUUGGAAGGUAUGAUCUUGUUGUUUUUAGACCUUAAAAACCUUCCAGCGUGAUAGUAGGUGUUAAAUGCUUCAUUUUGGUAUAAAUUGCGAAGAAAAUUGGACGAAAAACGAAGGAGAAUAGUGGUUUUGAAAAAUUACCCAGUUUCCGGCGCCGGCGACGGUCGCCGGAGCUGAAGGUUGAAGGUGACGGAAUAUUCCGUCAAGUUUGACGGAAUAUUCUGACAUCGUUAGUCAGUUUUAACGGAAACCGUUAGUUUUUAAACAGAAUAUACUAGGAUUUGACGGAAUAUUCCCUAACUGCCGUUUACUGUGCCGUCAGUGUACACGACACGUGGCCGCGCGUGGGGGCGCGUAGGUCCGUGCCACGUCAGGCGCGUGGGGGCGCGUGAGGACUCCAAAAAUUAUUUUAAAAAUAUGGGGAUGUUCCUGAGGUUAUGUAGGUCACGGUGGUAUAUUCAUAUACCCAAUUUGAGCAAUAUUUGAGGAGUUAUUAGCUAAGAAUUAGGUUAUGCGUUAAAUAACAUUAAUUCGGUUAUUUCUCGUAUAGGCGAGGCUUGUACGAACGUUGGGCAUGACUAAGGGAGGCUCAGGGACCUUCGACACGUCGAUGUAUUCUGUGAGUGGGCAGUUUUGUUUUCCGUAUAUAUAUAUACUUGACGUUUCCCAGAAAUUGAAUUGAAAUGAAAAUAUGUUUUAAAAAUGAAAUGCAUAUGAGUUAUGUGGAAAAAACGGGAAGUGAAAUACCAUGCAUAGAAUUGAUAUGAAAAGUAUAUAGAAAUGUGAGUUGAAAUGCCAUGCAUGAAUUAAUAUAUGAUGCAUAUGUAUGAAUUGGUGCGGUGGACGCACAGGUAAGAAUUGAUUUAUGAUGCAUAUGUAUGAAUUGGUGCGGUGGACGCACAGGUAAGAAUUGAUUUAUGAUGCAUAUGUAUGAAAUGGUGCGGUGGACGCACAGAUGAGUAUUUAAUUACUGUUUAUGAUGAUGAUGAUAUAUAUUGAGCUCAAAAUCCUGCACCAUGGUUUAGUGCUUAUAGUAUUCACCGCAUCGCACGCUCGCCUUGGAUCCAAGUAGAUGCUAGUCGUACAGUCCACGCGGAGUGGGUACGACAGACCAGUCGCGAGAGUGUUAGUGAGAUUCCGACUGGUGGGUGACCUUAGAUUAUGUGCACAGAUGAUUUAUGAGAAGCACUAGAGCGUAACUUGCGUGCAGAAAGGCCGGACGGGUCACAGAGGUGACUCCGGUAGAGUGAUAAUGAUAGAUUUUGAGCUCUAGGUUCAACCGUACAGGGCUAUUAGAGGGCCUACGGUUGAUUACUUUCUUGCACCUGAUAUGAUUAUGUUGAUGCAUUCAUACCUUAUUACUGUUGAGAUGAUGUGGCAUGGCAUAAUUAAUAUGAGAAAUGUUGAGAUGAUGUGGCAUGGCAUAAUUGUUAUGAAAAUGUUGAGUUAACGACUUGAAGUCUUGAGAAUAUAUAUGUAUAUUUAUAUUUUACAUUUCUGGGAAAGUAUACAGGUUUUACGGAGAGGGGUUACAACGUUUUGAGAAAUGUUUGGAUUUGGAAAAAGAAUUGUUUUACUGACCCACUCAAUUUUGGUUUUGCGCCCCUCCAGGUUCAGGAAUCACAAAGGUGUGGUGACUACGAGGAAUUCGACGGUGUUCUGACAG